rfam:Danio rerio chromosome 16, GRCz11 reference primary assembly.
GGACCUGUGGCGCAACGGUAGCGCGUCUGACUCCAGAUCAGAAGGUUGCGUGUUCAAGUCACGUCAGGUUCA